GCCAAUGUGGCGUAGUGGUUGGAGCAUCAGACUAGCACUCUGGGUGACCAGUGUUCGAAUCCCCACUCAGCCA